GGACACACGUGGUCGGGUAGAACAUACCAAGGCGCUCGAGUGAUUCAUGGUCAAGGAACUAGGCAAAAUAGUCCUGUAACCUCGGGAAAAAGGACGCUCUAGUGAUAGAGCCGCAGAGUAAUGGCCCAGGCGACUGUUUACCAAAAACACAUGGAUAUGCCAAAUCGAAAGAUGACGUAUAUGGCCUGACACCUGCCCGGUGCCGGAAGGUUAAGAGGAUAGCUCAUCGGAAACGAGAAGGUUUGAAUUGAAGCCCCGGUAAAC
rnacentral:rRNA from 1 species